CCAACCCCCUUAACAUGUUCAACAGUAGCUAACUAUUAACAGAUGAACAAGCUAGUACAAAUCACAUGCUUGAGCUUAAACUUCUAUUACAGGGUCUCAUGAUGCCUAUAUGUCCAAAUAACCAUUUCGAUAACUUUGUAACCUAUAUGUUCAUAACUUCAAUUCAUUUGAAUUCCACACCUCAUACUCAAAUCCCCUCAGAAUCAAUCCAACGAGCAAAUAUGGAUUCACUUUUCCAGACCUUAGCAACAUGAGGAAGGGCUAGACUAACAUGCAUAAUAUAGGAUUUACAUAUAUAAUUACACAGAAAUGGAAGAAAUAGACUUGAGAUUCAACUUGUAUCCAAAGUACUUCAUAUUCAAAGUGCAAAUUCACAUUUUCAUGUUGUUAUGGUUCCAAGAGAUACCUGGAGAUUGAAAGGAAAUAAAAGAAAAAAUGAAUGAGUGGUUGAGCAGCAAUAGAACAGUAGCAGAAAUCAGUCCCAGCAAAACCAGUUCAAACCCAAAAAUGAUGUGCAACAAUCAAUAAAAAUUAACCAGAACUUCAACCAAACUCUUAAACCACCCAAAUCAAACCAUUUCAGCCCCAGAUAGAUCAGAUAUCAUUUCAGGAAUUCGAAUCUUAAGAAAUCACAAAAAAUACUCAAUGAAACAAUAACUUUCAGUGAAAUUCUUAGCCGUCUUUGUUUUCUCAAUUUUUUUUAACUCUUCCCUCCCCCUUGAGUCUCAAGUUAGGAUGUCUUUAUAUGCAAGCUACUAGUGCUGCUUAAAAGGGUUCAAUUUUACACUUGAAACCUUUUUGAAUUUUCAAUUUAGCUCAGAUACCCUUAGUUAAAAAAUCACAAAUUCAGAAUAGUCCCCCUUUCCCAGCUUCCUAGAAGCUUCCUAUUUAGUUAAAUGAGAUUCCCCCACCUAGACUUCCCAAAUUGCUCCUGAACCCCUGUUAAUAUACCAGACAGACCAAAUGGGCCAUGGGUCAAUUUUGACCCAAUUGUUCAGACCCAAAUGAGCAGGAAUAGACCCAAAACCCAACCCACAAGAUCAAAAAUUCAUUCAGCCCAACUAGCAAUUAUCUAAUUAACAAGUUGUAAACACCAAAUAACAUGGGACAAUUAAAACUUUAGCCUAAAUGAUUUACUAACUAAACUUAACCAAACUAACAAUUUUAAAACUAAUCUGAUUACAACCUAACUAUACUAAUUAAGAAAAAGACUCCAAUUACUCAUGCAUGAAUAAAUAAACUCCGGAACAAAUAAAAAAUGAUUCAAGAAGAGGAGAAGAAACAGAAAACAGAAAAACAAACGAAGAACAGAUUCAACCAAAAGAAGAAAAGAAAAUACCUAAGAGAAGUUCAGAAAAUGAAAUAGGGGGCAUGGGUCUUCAAAUCCUCGGAUUUUCCGGCCAAAUCUGAUGUUAAUCGUGUGCUCUUACGAAGAAAACACGAAUAAAAUCGGAUUAGACACGAAAUUUCGCCAAAACUUUACUUGGAAUUUCUAGGGCUCAUCUCUGAUCUAAAAUUCGAGGAACUAGGGCAAUAUUCGAGGGUAAUGGAGUGUGGAGUUAGAAAGAGGGGAGUGAGGAGGCUCUAGGGUGUGAUUUUGGUGGCGUUUGGAGAUGGCGCCGCCACCGGAGGACGGUGGGAAAGGAUGGCGGCUAUUAGGAUUUAUGUUUGGUCUCUGGUGUGAGAGAG
rnacentral:lncRNA from 1 species